rnacentral:rRNA from 1 species
UACGUAGGGGGCGAGCGUUGUCCGGAUGUAUUGGGCGUAAAGAGCGUGUAGGCGGCCAGGUAGGUCUGCUGUGAAAACUCGAGGCUCAACCUCGAGACGUCGGCGGAAACCAUCUGGCUAGAGUCCGGAAGAGGAGAGUGGAAUUCCUGGUGUAGCGGUGAAAUGCGCAGAUAUCAGGAAGAACACCCGUGGCGAAGGCGGCUCUCUGGGACGGUACUGACGCUGAGGAGCGAAAGCGUGGGGAGCGAACAGG